GAACUAACGAAUGCUCCAUUUCUCCUAUUUUCUCCAAAUAUGACACAAUGAAGAAAAAUCACCACUUUUUGUCCACAGAUGGCCUCCUGUGCCUCUUUCUGAAACAAGAUGGGAGGUUAGAUCGCGAGACGCAUGUGAAUUCGUUUGUACCACGAACCUUACAUCCUAAUAGUUUCCUUUCUACAUUCCUGAGGAAGAUCGCCAUGUUCUGCAGUCCCGGAUUCCUAUGUGCUACCAGCAGAGAGCACCCCUCACCCUGGCAAGUGUCUUGAUGCUGAUCCCUGCACCGGUAGCUGUGGCCAGGGUGCGAGUGGGGCCAAAUCUCUUACUGGCCAGGCCUGGGCCAGGUGCUAACUUCUGGCCGUGGGACCUACAGGAAUCUGACAGAUUAGAGUCUCAGCUGAACAUUCAGAGGGAGGGAUUCGGAGUCUAUGCACGUCCCAGAAAGUGGGGAGGAGGAGGAGAGCGAUGUUUGCCAAGUCGCAUGGAAAAUUGCCCUUGAGCUUCUCCAAACACCGUAUGCCAGGAGGCCCAGCUUGAUAACCGGUAGAACUGGGGCCCUGACUGGCUAAGCAGGCCACUCAGGAUGGCUGGGAGGACCUGGUGGCCUGGCUUCCCUCCCAGGAGCUGGGCCCAUGGGCUGGUGAGGGCUCCGUGAGUGCAGAUCAGGCUCUGAGGGAUAACCCUCUCAGGCAACCCUCUGCUGGUGAGGGUGUAAGAUGAAGAGGAAACAUGACUGAUGGGUUCGGGAAGUUCCCAGCCCGACCAGAGAGAAGUAACAAGCCAAGAUCGAGGCUGUACUUUGGGGCAUUGGGCUUGAUGCGCCGGUCCCUGGUCCCUGUCGGAGAGACAGCAUGCCAGCCCCCUCUAUGCGGGGGAUUAAGUUUGUCCCACGCUGUCUUUACUUGUGUUGUCCACUCGAUUAUUUCUGCCCUUGGAGUCCCAGCCCAUUCUGACCACAAAGCCUGCGGCACGACCCACUGCACCUAGGAGCCCCAGCACGGCGCCUGCCCCGACAAGAGAACCGUCCCUUCUCACUCUGGCCCAGCCCCUCAUCUGCCUGGAAGGCCCCCCAGGCAAGGCUGGUACAGGCUCUCUUGGUGGAAUCUCUGCUGGAGGGAAAGGUCCCAGGGAAGCCUGAGCCCAAAAUGAGGAGUAAGGUUGGUUCCCGCAGGGGCCUCCUGGGGGGAAUCUUCUGCAGGCGUCACCAUUUCCAAAUACUCAUCACCAAGGCUGGGAAAAGGCCAGUGCAGGAGAAAGUGGCAGAGAGCCGGGGGUGAGGAAGUGAGAGCAGAUGGAGGCAAGAAAAGUAGAAGACAGCGCUGAGCAGCCCCGAGCCAGCCAGCCCAGCGGUGGGAGAAGACAGCGCUGAGCAGCCCCGAGCCAGCCAGCCCAGCGGAUGUGGGGACACCAAGCCACACCCUGCUGGACGGUCCCCUGGCAGCUUGCAGGAGAACCUCGGCCCAGCACUGUCUGAACCAGCAGCCCACCAGUGAGCUCCUGGGGCUUGAUGAGGCCAUCGGAUGAGCCAGCCUCCUCCUCGCCCCUCUUCCUCUGUCCCCCACCUUGCAGUGCACUUCUCCCUGCUCCCUCCUGUGUCAUGCCUCCGCCUCCUCCCCUGAGCUGGCCUCCUCUCACACAGCUUAAUGGUGCCGAGCCUGUUUGCGCAAUGAACUGCCAGUGCUUGGUGUUUAAGACCGGCAGGCACUCCCACAGGGGUCCUUCUUGAUCUUUCUGCUGCUACUGAGAAGACGGAUUGUCCUGGCAAGUUCUUAAUAAACAUUUAAUGAAUGAACGGAUUAACGAAUGA
ensembl:lncRNA